ACUCUCCCAUUCUGCAUGCUUACAUUAGGUUUCACCCCCACAUAUAACUUUCAUACUGAGAGAAAGAGGAAAUUGCUCCUCAGGAGUUGAUCCACCUCAUGGUGGCCUCUUUUGCCUAGAGGAGCACAACAGGU
rnacentral:snoRNA from 1 species